rnacentral:lncRNA from 1 species
AUGGAAGUUCCCUCCUGGGAAGGGAGGGAUGUGCAUCCCCCAGUUCUCCUCAGCCACUGGUGCUGCCAGACUCCCUCCUUUGCCCCAGCUUUCCUUCCUUCAACUCUCCUAUAUCCCCUGACCAUCCUUUGGACCACCUUGACCCCUCUGGCUGCUCUUGGACCUCCCAGAGUAUCCCUCAAACAUCCCCUGCAUUCUCUGCCUCCUCCAAACACCACCUGGCCUGUUCCCUCCCAAACUCUGGUGUCUGCACCUGCCAUCCCAGUUUCUUCUGUAUCCCUUUCUCUCCAUCCCAAUCUCCUGUAUCCCUUUCUGCCAUCCCAAUCCCUUCAUGUCCCUUUCUCCCAACCCAGUCUUUCCUAUAUCCCUUUCUCUUCAUCCCAAUCUCUCCUGUAUCCCUUUCUGCCAUCCCAACUCUCCCAAUCCCUCCAUCACCUUUCUCCCAUCCCAGUCUGUCCGUGUCCCUUUCUCCCAUCCCAGUCUCUCCUGUAUCCCUUUCUGCCAUCCCAAUCCCUUCACGUCCUUUUCUCCCAUCCCAAUCUCUCCUCGAUCCCUUUCUACCAUCCCAAUCUCUCCCAAUCCCUCCAUCCCCUCUCUCCCAUCCCAGUCUCUCCUGUAUCCCUUUCUGCCAGUAUCCCAGUUCUCUCCUGUGUUCCUUUUUUCCAUCCCAGUCUCUUCUGUGUUCCUUUCUCCAAUCCCAGUCUGUCCAUGUCCCUUUCUCCCAUCCCAAUCUCCCUUGAAUCCCCCUCUCCCACCCCAGUCUUUCCUGUAUCCCUUUCUCCCACCCCACUCCUCUCCCAAUCCCUCAUGUCCCUCUCUCCCAUCCCUGUCUCUCCUGUGUCCCCUUCUCCCAUCCCAAUCCCCCCAUCCCCUUUCUCCCAUCCCAAUCUCUCGUGUAUCUUUUUCUGCCAUCCCAAUCUCUCCCAAUCCUUCCAUCCCCUUUCUCCCAUCCCAGUCUCUCCUGUGUCCCUUUCUCCCACCCCAAUCCCCCCAUCCCCUCUCUCCCACCCCAGUCUUUCCUGUAUCCCUUUCUCCCAUUCCAAUCUCUCAUGUAUCCCUUUCUCCCAUCCCAGUCUCUCCUGUAUCCCUUUCUGCCAGUAUCCCAGUUCUCUCCUGUGUNNNNNNNNNNNNNNNNNNNNUGGAUCCAGGAAUGUUUGGCUCCUCCCUGGGCAGAGCAUCUCCCAGUGGGAUGAUGGAAUUUUAUCAGCCAUGCAGGGACACUCACUGGCCCAUGAACAGAAGGUAAUUAAUAAUGAAUGGCCCAUUAACAGAAGAUAA